GGGGAUGCUUGGUAUCGACAGGGUGCCAGGGAUGAACUUUGCGCGCCGAGGUGCCCAUGCCUCGUAAAACCGGGCAAAACAAGUAACUGGCACCACGCCUGUUGCUCUCGCUGCCUAAGUCACAGACCUCUAGGUAGCGCGUCCUUCCCGCCUUCCGUCUCCCGGGGCGGGGCCUGGGCGUCAUUGAGGGAGAAUGCGACGACUUAGUUCGCCGGUGCGCGGUCGUCAAAGGCAGUCCGGCUCACUGGCCAGAUACCCUGUCGGCGGGGGAUCGGGUCAGCACACAAAACACCGACUACGCGCGUAGCAGAUGGUUGGCCGACCACUUUGGACGGGGGUUCGACUCCCCCCAUCUCCACCU
rnacentral:tmRNA from 1 species